AAAAACUUUCCUUUCCAGUUGUUAAAGUUAUUCCUAUAGGCUGUAUGCAGUAUUUUAUACAUCUACUUGUGAGUUGAAAUGUUUAAUUUGGCAUUGAAGUGGUGCUUUGAGAUAGCAAAAACAUUUUCAUACUGUUUAAUCUCAUUUAGUGUUUUCUUUUUUUCUGUAGAGCAUUUAUGGUUGACAAAGACUUUGCGGAAAUAAAUGCUUUGCAGAAGGUUUUUCCAGAGUCAGCUAUCCUUCUAUGCUGGUACCAUGUCUUGCAGGCUGUUAAUCGAUGGCUUUCAAAAUCAGAGUCCGGGGUCCAUGGGCUUUCUAAAACCCAAAAGAGAAAUGAAAUCAUUUCUUUCUUUUGUAAGCUGAAAGCUUGCACAUCUGAGGACGACUUUAAAGCCACAUCAGCAGAGUUCUGCCAGACAAGCAAUACCCUUUGGUGUGCCAGUAUUUUCAGAAGCACUGGGAAGGCAUUGGCCACAUGUGGUGUGACUACGGCCGUCGCUUCAGUCACGCUCGUUCUGAAACAAACAAUGUGAUUGAAAGAUUUUUCCACCGCCUGAAAUACCAGUUUUUAUCUGGCUACAAGAAUAGGCGUCUGGAUGAUCUGAUUGAAGUGCUCCUAGGGAAGGCCGACGACUACUUCUCAGUCAUAAAAACCCUGCAAGAUGUGGGCCGCAUGAAAAACAGGUUUGCUGACACCUUGUCUCAAGUUUCAGACUCUGCUUCAAGACUGAUGGAAAGUGGUUGGGCUCUUAAAAUUACAGUCAAGAACAGCCAUGGAGUUAAUGCAUAUCAAGUCCCAUCUGAGUCAAGAGAAGACAUGGUGUAUGAUGUCUGCCCUGUUGAGUCCUACUGCAACUGUACAUAUGGCUUACGAGGACUUCUUUGCAAGCAUCUAGUGUUACUUGCAAAAUUAGCAGAGGCUGACAAUGACAUCUAUCCAAACAUGGAAACAGACAUUUCUACCUUGGCAAGAAUUGCAGUGAAAGAAAGGCAUUACUUUGUACACUGUGAGGACUUGAAAGUGAUAAAAAUGCCAAGUUUGUUUGGAAAUCUGUUUUUUUGCAUCGGCUGAAACACUUCAGUGCACUUGUUGUACGUUCUCUCACUAUAACACAUGUGCUUGCCUGAAGGUGGCUUGUAGCCAUUUUAAACAAAUGAAAAACUCUCUGAAAAGUCCUCUAUCAACUUUGAAUGACACUCCUGUAGUUGAAAGCACAGACAAAAAAUGCACAGAAGAUGCAGUUGGAAAACUAAAUGCUGUUUUAGACACAGUUAAACAGUGGGCAUUCAUUCCAGAGGGUAUUACUGCAAUGAUAGAUGAACUGCAUACAAAUGUCUUAAAAACAAAACAAGUAGGCAAAAGUAUAUGCCAGUACGAAAUAAAGACGACAGAUAAUGCACGCAAAAUUAGGCCAUUGUAUUCUAGCAAGAAACGUUCGGCCAGCAUCGACAUUCCAACAGUCUGUGAAAAUGAAUGUGAACAGUCGAUAACCACUGAAAGAGAGACAUCCUCUGGAGAAAAUGAAAACCUUUUGGAAUACAAAACAAAAAAGAGAAGAGUUAAAGCUAAGUAUAUGCACAAGUAGACUUUUGUGUGACAUUUCAAAGGGACUGCAUCCAUUACUUCUGUUUAUUGAAACCUAAAGCUGAAUAGCUGUCUUAACUUUCUGCCAAGGAACAGAUGAAAAGAAAUUGUUUGCUCUCUCAAGCAGUUGUUAUUUAUGUGUGUUAUUCAUUACUUUGGCUUGGUUGCUGUUUUUGAUACAAAUUCAUCUGUGCCCAUUGUAAUAUUUUCACAUGUUACUAUUUUUAUAUUGCUAUGCAUUAUAAAUAAAGGAUUACUUAUUACUAUUAAAGGUC
ensembl:lncRNA